UGUAAACACAGUUGAUGCCAGCACAGCAGUGAGCUUGAGAAAGCAGAGUUUCAGAGCCCAGCACCUAGAACUGCCAGCCCGGGGCUUAUGGAGAGACCUCAAGAGUAACUUAAAUGAAUGAUAAACUAUGACGACGGCUAAAGAAGAGGCAGGAGUGGAUGAAGCAGCCCACGCACGGUUCCUUGCUUUGCUGCCCCUCCUCACAGUGUCCCUGAGGGGAAACUGCUGAGGUCACCUGAAGAGCCUCCAGAGCCUGAGCAAAGCAACAUGAGAUCCGAACUCAGGGGACACGGAGGAGCCAAGAGAUAUGAGACCCGUGGUCCAAACUCGGGGGAUGCAGAGAGGCUGAGAGAAAGGUCUGCCACCAUCAGCAGCUGGCAGCUGUCUAGGAUUUAUUUAACUUUCCUGUGCGUGUGUGUGAGUCCAUCUGUCCAUCUGUCUAUCUGUCUGUCCAUCCUUCUGUUCUGUGAACACUCUCCUACAGAAGCCAGAAGAGGAUGUCCGAUACCCUGGAGCUGGAGUUACAGAUGAUCCCAAUCCUGAUCGGCUUGGGACUCAGGUUCCACGGAGUCUUUUCAAUCCGAAGGCAGGACCGACUGACGGCUACCGUGAAAGAUUACUUUGAGAAUAUUCUUGACUAACCUUAAGGAUUAGAACAUAAGUAAGAAAAACACACAGGCUUCAAAAAUGCCAGUAAAUUGAUUCCAAGGAAAAACAACAAAUAGGAAACCCCUGUGUGCAAAGUGAGAGUAACAGGCCCCUCCCCGGGUCUUCCAGGCUGUGACGUGCUACCUCCUGUUAUAUUUCCGUUCUCCACAGAAGGAACCUGAGACACAGACAUUGUUUAAGACACAGAAGUGGUGAAGCAAAGCCUAGGUCACAUCACCAAACACAACCAAUCAUGACCAGACCCUCGAGCAGGUCUCCUCAGCUCUCUCAGUCUAUUAGAAGAGCACCGCGCAAGCAAGCUUGCUACCCUGGCUUUCCUCUCAAGAUCAAUGUUGUGAUUCAAACCAGGGGCCAAAGAAGGUUAGGCUCCGUGUCUUUUCUUUGCUUCUUCUGUCGCUACCAGCUUCCAGAAUAAGAUUCCCCCAAAGGUAUAGUGCUCUCCCUCCUGACCUAACCCCACCCCACUGCCCAACCCAACAAAGGGCUAUGACUUCUAAGUCAGAAACAUGCCAGUGAAGCAAGACCUGGGUUGCUAUGGGAGGUCUAAGAGUCAAGGACCAGCUAAGAUAGUUUCUAGGGGGUUCUACAACAGGCUUCAGCUCUGAUGGUGGAGGUUGUGACUGGAGCUAUCAGGAUUGUUUGUUUCACAAUCAUAUGAUUCUCACUGGCUAACGUGAGCCAGACACUGCAUUUUGGACCCAGAAAGCUCUAGAAAGACUCUGUUUGCAACAUAAGGUGAUGGCGCCCUCUAGUGUCCGCAGCAUUUUGCAGAAACCUACCAGGCUCCUUUGUGGUGACCUUGAACAUUGAGCAGGUGGCAGCUUCAAGGUGGGCACUACCUCACAUCACGCCCAGAGGUGAAGAAAACAAGCCUGAACCACAGGGGUGGUGAAACUCAAGACCCUCUAUGGGCCACUCUGCAGAUCCGAGA